GGAGGGUAUGCGAAUGGCUAGCGGCCUGUUUGGAGUACAGGUGCCCCGCAAGGGGUUGAGGGUUCGAAUCCCUUGCCCUCCG
rnacentral:tRNA from 1 species